rnacentral:rRNA from 1 species
CAGCCGCCACGGGAAUACGUAGGUGGCAAGCGUUGUCCGGAAUUAUUGGGCGUAAAGGGCUCGCAGGCGGUUUCUUAAGUCUGGUGUGAAAGCCCCCGGCUCAACCGGGGAGGGUCAUUGGAAACUGGGGAACUUGAGUGCAGAAGAGGAGAGUGGAAUUCCACGUGUAGCGGUGAAAUGCGUAGAGAUGUGGAGGAACACCAGUGGCGAAGGCGACUCUCUGGUCUGUAACUGACGCUGAGGAGCGAAAGCGUGGGGAGCGAACAGGAUUAGAUACCCCGGUAGUCCCUGUCUCUUAUAC